GACAGAGGUGCCGAGCGUUAGGCGGAAUCACUGGGCUUAAAGCGUGUGUCGGCGGGUCCGUAAGUACCUUGUGAAAUCCCACGGCUCAACCGUGGAACUGCUCGGUAUACUGCGGGCCUUGAGCCAGCUAGGGGCAACCGGAACAAACGGUGGAGCGGUGAAAUGCGCAGAUAUCAGGAGGAACACCGGUGGCGAAGGCGGAUCUCUGGGCCAUAACUGACACUGAGGGACGAAAGCUAGGGGAGCGAAAGGG
rnacentral:rRNA from 1 species